GAGUUUGAUCGUGGCUCAGAGUGAACGCUGGCGGCAGGCCUAACACAUGCAAGUCGAGCGGCAGCGCGGGGGCAACCCUGGCGGCGAGCGGCGGACGGGUGAGGAAUGCAUCGGAAUCUACCUCGUUGUGGGGGAUAAACCUCGGGAAACCGGGACUAAUACCGCAUACGACCUACGGGUGAAAGUGGGGGACCGCAAAGGCCUCACGCGAUGAGAUGAGCCGAUGCCGGAUUAGCUAGUUGGCGGGGUAAAGGCCCACCAAGGCGACGAUCCGUAGCUGGUCUGAGAGGAUGAUCAGCCACACUGGAACUGAGACACGGUCCAGACUCCUACGGGAGGCAGCAGUGGGGAAUAUUGGACAAUGGGCGAAAAGCCUGAU
rnacentral:rRNA from 1 species